rnacentral:rRNA from 1 species
CCUACGGGCGGCAGCAGUGAGGAAUAUUGGUCAAUGGGCGCGAGCCUGAACCAGCCAAGUCGCGUGAAGGAAGACGGUCCUAUGGAUUGUAAACCUCUUUUGUCGGGGCGCAAAAGACGCCACGCGUGGCGUUCCGAGAGUACCCGAAGAAAAAGCAUCGGCUAACUCCGUGCCCGCAGCCGCGGUAAUACGGGGGAUGCGAGCGUUAUCCGGAUUUAUUGGGUUGAAAGGGUGCGCAGGCGGAAGAUCAAGUCAGCGGUAAAAUUGCGAGGGCCAACCUCUUCGAGCCGUUGAAACUGGUUUUCUUGAGUGAGUGAGAAGUAUGCGGAAUGCGUGGUGUAGCGGUGAAAUGCACAGAUAUCACGCAGAACUCCGAUUGCGAAGGCAGCAUACCGGCGCUCAACUGACGCGCAUGCACGAAAGUGUGGGUAUCGAACAGGAGUAGAUACCCGUGUAGUC